rnacentral:rRNA from 1 species
AGUGAACGCUGGCGGUAGGCCUAACACAUGCAAGUCGAACGGCAGCACAGUAAGAGCUUGCUCUUACGGGUGGCGAGUGGCGGACGGGUGAGGAAUACAUCGGAAUCUACUUUUUCGUGGGGGAUAACGUAGGGAAACUUACGCUAAUACCGCAUACGUCCUACGGGUGAAAGCAGGGGAUCUUCGGACCUUGCGCGAUUGAAUGAGCCGAUGUCGGAUUAGCUAGUUGGCGGGGUAAAGGCCCACCAAGGCGACGAUCCGUAGCUGGUCUGAGAGGAUGAUCAGCCACACUGGAACUGGGACACGGACCAGACUCCUACGGGAGGCAGCAGUGGGGAAUAUUGGACAAUGGGCGCAAGCCUGAUCCAGCCAUACCGCGUGGGUGAAGAAGGCCUUCGGGUUGUAAAGCCCUUUUGUGGGGAAAGAAAAGCAGCAGGUUAAUACCCCGCUGUUCUGACGGUACCCAAAGAAUAAGCACCGGCUAACUUCGUG